rnacentral:misc_RNA from 1 species
CCAAUAGCGUAUAUUAGUGUUGUUGCGGUUAAAAAGCUCGUAGUUGAAUUUCGGGAUUGGGAUAUAUCGGUCGUGCCUUUAGGGGCAUGAAACGGUGUGUAGCCAAUUUCUCACCUUCUGGUGAGUCGGGAUGCUCUUGGGUGUUUCGAUGAACCAGGACAUUUACUUUGAAAAAAUUAGAGUGUUUAAAGCGGGCAUUUUUGCUUGAAUACAUUAGCAUGGAAUAAUAAAAUAGGACGAUGGUUCUAUUUUGUUGGUUUUAGGACUACGUAAUGAUUAAUAGGGAUAGUUGGGGGCAUUAGUAUUCAAUUGUCAGAGGUGAAAUUCUUGGAUUUAUUGAGGACUAACUACUGCGAAAGCAUUUGCCAAGGAUGUUUUCAUUAAUCAAGAACGAAAGUUAGGGGAUCAAAGACGAUUUAUGUACGUCGUAGUCUUAACCAUAAACUAUGCCGACUAGGAAUCAGACAAAGUUCAUUUUUUAAAGACUUGUUUGGUACCUUACG